GUGAGUAGUUCAGAGUUUGAUCCUGGCUCAGGACGAACGCUGGCGGCGUGCUUCAUACAUGCAAGUCGAACGAGAAAUUCACUUCGGUGAAUGGAAAGUGGCGGACGGGUGAGUAAAAUGUAGGAAAUCUGCCCUAGAGAGGGGGACAACGGUUGGAAACGACCGCUAAUACCCCAUAUGAGCGUACCUGGAAUGGUAUUCUUGAAAACUCCGGUGCUCUAGGAUGAGCCUGCAUCUGAUUAGCUAGUUGGGGGUGUAAUGGACCACCAAGGCGACGAUCAGUAGCUGGUUUGGGAGGAUGAUCAGCCACAAUGGGACUGAGGCACGGCCCAU
rnacentral:rRNA from 1 species